rnacentral:rRNA from 1 species
UACGGAGGUGGCAAGCGUUACUCGGAAUUAUUGGGUGUAAAGGGCAAGUAGGCGGCUUGGUAAGUCGGGGGUGAAAUACUUCGGCUCAAUCGGAGAACUGCCUUCUAAACUACCAGGCUUGAGUGUGACAGAGGAAAAGGGAAUUCUCGGUGUAAGGGUGAAAUCUGUAGAUAUCGAGAAGAACACCAGCGGCGAAGGCGCUUUUCUGGGUCACUACUGACGCUAAAUUGCGAAAGCUAGGGGAGCAAACAGA